rnacentral:tRNA from 1 species
UAAAAAAUAGUUUAAUAUAAAACGUUAAUUUUGGAUAUUAAUAAUAUAAUUAUUUAUUUUUUUAA